UCUCACUUCUGCAGUAGGCCUCUAGAUGUCCAUGAUCCUGCCUUCUCAGAAAGAGAGGGAGGACAUGCGGCUGGAGGGACACAGAGGGCAAGACUGCAUCCCAGUUACAACACCAGGAAGCCACGUCUGAAAGGAAACUCCUCAGAAACCUGGGCAUAGGCUGUCAGGAAAGUAAAGAAGACAUCUGGAGAGGAAGCACCUUUGCGGCCCAGAAGGUGCCAAAAACAUCCUGAGAUAAGCGUUCCUUGGCAAACUGGGAUCACGCCUGAGGUGGGGGAGGUGGCCUUACGCAGAGGCCCUGGAGAAGUGAAACAGGAAAGACACUGAGUCCCUUUCAUUCAAUAAUGAAACCUGUAGAAGAUCGAUCAAGUUGAACUCGGUUGGAUACGAAAAAAUCACCGACCAAAAAGUGACAUCCCCAUCCUGCAACUAUUUUUGUAUCCCCACGAAAUUCCACGGGGCUGCAUCCACUGAUAGGAGAAGGCACACUUCUAAAAUCAGGAGAGGGUAUCCAGGAACAAGGAACAAACAUGAAAAACGAAUCCGUAGCCUGGCCACACUGGUUUUAACUCCACAGGCCUGAAGACGCAAGCAGAAGAGACUCAGGAAAGCCAAGGACUGAGCGAAUUCACAAUGCAAGCAGGAACAUCAGAAGGCAAAUUAGGGCCCACAUGGUUUCGGUUUUAAUGUUCUUCGUUUUGUUUUGUAUUUUUCUUUAGAGAUGGCAUCCUG